rnacentral:misc_RNA from 1 species
ACGUCGAAGAAACCCAUCCACCACCGCGUGUUGGUGCAUGCAACCACACACACACUCGCACAUUCACUCAUACACCUAGCUUCAAGCACACAUACGCACGCAGACGCGCACCGACGUCUGGGCGCACUUAGAAAGCAUUAGUUUCUUUUUUCUCUUCUCGUUCGCGUCUAUUUCGCUGAGCGUUCCGCCACUGCGGAAGCGGAGCGCGUUUCUGCACGACGCUUAUCCGCACAGCACCGUUGGCACCGACCACGCCGCGGAGGGGCGCAGGAAAGGGGGGCUGUGGACGCACGCGGGUGCCAUUGCCCCUUUUCCACCCACACACGCCUUACAGCCUUUCAUGUCCUCUUCUCCAACCCCUGCGGGGAUGGGGACGCUCUAUGUCAACGAUUUCAAGGCACAGAUCGCAUCUAUUCUGGGGUCCCGUGCCGCGGCGACUGGCACCAGCCCUUCUGGCUCACCAGCGACGGAAGGCUGUGGUCUCGCAAGGCGCCCCCAAGCGCGCCGAGAAGGAGGCGGCGACCUCAGUCAGCGCAAUUCGCCUUUCCGGCACGGCAGUGGCAGUGGGGACUUCGGCAGCGUCACGCCGCCUCCAGGGGCAGUGCCCUACUCCCCCUCCGCAAGUCGUGGGACGCCGCUAGUGACGCCAACGCGCGGCAGUGGCGCGAAUUGUUCUGGAGAGCGCGCGAAGAGCGCGCGCCGCCGCUCCCGUGCGGCGCUGCUGCUCGACACGUCCGCUGUCUUCGUGACACCCACGCCGCAGAAGCAGCGGCACCGCCACCUCUCCCCCGGCACGUCCGCGCGUGACAACAAAGAGAAAUCAUCACGCGCCAGAUGUGUAACCACGUCCGCAUCGCGACGGCGCGGCCCAAAGCGGGAUGGCGCACAGUGCGUCGGCAGCUUAUCCGCAGGGCACACGAACGUCACCCUCUCCACUGGGGUAGGUGGUGGCUACGCGAUUCACGUAAGCCGGCACCCCGUCUACUCCGGCAGAGGAGCACCGCAGCGGAAGUGUACCUCCCCUCCGCCAGCUGCUGGCAAGGCCGCCGGAGUGCAAGGAGGCCUCGCCAUAUGCGUCGAAGCGAACACCGUGCGGCGGCUGCAGAGAGGCGGGGCGGACAAGCCGGUGGCAUCGGUGGCAGCGACCAAAACCGCGCCUGUCAAGGCUGCCACGGCCUUGGGUGUCUGCCCAGCGGUGAGCGCAGGCCAGACGAGACCGCCGGGGCAACGCGGCAGCAUCAUCGAGCAACUGGCGGUAGCCACCCAGAUGAAAGGCGGUGACGGUUCCACGCUGGGACAGGCCGCACACGAGCCGCACGCUAACGCCUCCGUGGCAAGGUCAUCGAGUCCGCGAAAGUGUCCUCUGCCGCAUUCCGAGAGUGAACUGCGGUUGUCGAGGCUCACCGGCGGCAGCAACACAAAGCCGCUAGGUCCGCUGCAGUUGCACGAUCGAAUGCGCAUGCACCUGCAGCAGGCGUCGUUCAAUGUGAGCGCCAGCGCUGCUGGCGAGGCAGACAGGCGCUUGCCGAAUGACGCGCUCGUCCUUGCGGGCCCGGAACGGACGCCGGGCGGAGAGAACCCCAUGUACACCCAACUCAAGGCAUUCCAGCUGCCCCAGGGGCACACAGCCGCGCCCCCAACCCCCGCGCCACCCCCGUUGCCGGGCCCAGCAACGACCGGCGGCACACCCGCAGCAGCGCCCUCCGCUGCACCACCCCCUCCAGCCGCGCCAGGCGCAGUGACAACGGUGACGGACCUAACUUCUGCGCCAGCACCGGCACCUGCCGCUGGCAUACCCGCCACAGUGGCGCCCCCUCCUUCGCCAGGGGCCGACGUCCUUGCCGCCGCCGCCUUCGCAGGCGCACCUGCGGCUAGCCCAGCGCCGCCGCCGCCGCCACCACCACCAGCGGUCGCAGCAGGCGCAGGAGCCGUCAACGCACCCGCUGCGGGCGGUUCGGCUGCGGGAAUGGGUGCCUCAGCUGCUGCCGCAGCUUCCGGCGCGCGGCUGUCUGCACACCCGGUCUCUGCGCGGGAGCUGAGGAGGGAGAUGACGGAGGCGGAGGAGGAGCGCUUGCUGCGUGACCUCAUCGCCGCGUCACGUCACGACCACCGGUGCGCGCGGCCGCAGCCGUCAGCCGGCUCGGCUGUCCCCGCCACGGACGCCAUCCUCACUGCCGCGAUAGAGACGGCGCUGCAGCUGAGACGGGAGGCAAACAGCGGCGCGCUCCACGGCUGGCGGAGGCCACCGGCAAACGUGCUGUUGCCUGAUCCGACGCAGUCCGCGCCUACGUGGGCGGUGCUCAAGUCGGUACCUGCCCAGGAGGCGCAGCAGGCGGCCGCCGCGGCUGCUAUCGCACAACCCAGUGGCGGAGCCCCUGGGAACCACUUAGCAUCACCGACGGAUGACAUGAAAGCCGCCGCGCACGACGUCGCUGAGAACGCCGCUGACGGCGACGAAACCGCGCGGGUGCUGGACUGCAUCGACUACCACGCGCCGUUCCAGUGCGUCCUCCGUCCCGAGUACGUGGAGCGCGACCUCGUGCCAGCGGCCUUGAGCGUGGAAGUCGUCGCCCACACCGGCGUGGAUGGCCUCAUGAAGUCUUGCCCUACCAACCGCACCCCCCCAGGCGCCGCCGCGGCGGCGGCGGAGCAGAGGGACAAUAUCAAUGCGGAUGCGCUCGCUCCAGCGGCAGCAGCCAGCAGCGACACCGCAGUGAAGACGCUAGCUGCGCAGGCCGUCAUUUUGCGCGACCCGCUCUCUCUUCUCGCGUGCGAGCAUCUCGCCGAGGACACAAUCGACAUCACCGCUCGCCGCCGCGCGUACCUGUCGGCGAUGGAUGCGUUGCGCGGCGUCACGCGCGGCGGUGCGCUUUCCACCAACCGCCCCGGUGCGCUGGCCUCCACGCUGCAAGAAGCCUCAUCACUUGGUGCGGUGUUUUGCGAGCUGUCGUACCCGGCCAAGGUACUGCUUUCAGCGAUCCUGUACAUGCGCUCGCUCGGGGCGCUGCCGAGCCUGCUGCGAGUUGGCCCGCUUACCGAGUACAGUCCCGUCGUGGACAAGGAAAACUGCAUCGAACUUGUCUUCUACAACCCGCUCGACGAGGAGCAGGGCGUGCGAGCGGCACAGGAGGAGCAGCAGAAGUCGGGGAAGCUGAAGCCCUCGCGGCAUCGGUUUGAGCGAGCGCGCGCGGUGGGCGCAACAGUCCUUCACAGACAAGUGCCAGCUGGUCGCGUGUCGCUCAUCGAGGCUGUGACCCCGAUCAACGCCCCGGGAAGGGCGCGCUCGCAGCCGCCCGCGGAGGGGCAACCGAGUAGCAGCCCAGGCGCGUCGUUCCGUAGCCGCUCAGGCAGGCAGUACGGCAGCGCCACCCGCCGCUUCACGGGCGACUCCCUCGACGGAAAAGGUGAGGCGCACGCAAGCCACGCGCACAACUACACCGGCCCGUCCCCGUCACCGCUGUCGAAGCGGCGACUAACCACCCUUGAGGACCGGCUGAUGAGCGCGUUGUCCGCGACGGCGAUGCGGCGGGCUGGCCCUGCGGCCUCCCGGAGCGUCAGCUCUGCCGCUGUCACCUCACGCACCGUUUCACCGCACCGAUUCUUUUCUCGCGCGAUCUCCACAAACCUGGCUGAGUCGCAGCUGCACGACACGGAGGCCUCGCUGAUGGCGGGUGACGCUCUCGACGAAGCACGGCGUUUGUCCGCCGCUGAUGGCGGUGAGCCGUGUUCCUCUGCGAACGGUGGCUCCUGGCUACUGCGCAACGCGUCGCAGGAUGGGCCCGCGCCGCACGUCUUUGCUCGCCAGGUGGGUGAACCGGGCACCAACGCUGAUGAAAGCCUAAGUGGGAGUGAAAACGUCCAUCGCGGCGACGCUGACCUCGCCUCUGGCCGCCGGCGCCACCAGGAACUAUCCCAGCUGCCAACUAAGCUGCAGGGGUGCGGCUCGGGGUGCGCCAGUCGCGUUCCGCGCGUGCGCAUUACACCUCCAUCGGGUACAUCGGCAAGCGGCACACCUGGCUCGUCUGCCCUUCGCCGCAGCUCCGUCAUCGUUGCGCUCGAAGACCUGCAGCGGGCGGCUGAGAGGGGCGGCGUGCCGGCUGCUGCGCGCGCGGCAAACGCCCCCUCGCCACCGUCGCACUCACUCCCCGGCCGCACCGAUCCCUUAUCCACCGUCACGCAGCCUGCCAAGGCGAUGCCACCGCCGCCGACGCACUUUGAAGCGGGCCAGCCGGCCACCACUUGUGGCUCGAGGGCCGCGGCAACGCCCGCAAGCGGCUCGGCACCGGCAAGCGCGUACGGCCCCGGCGUCGCCCGCUUCCCCACGGGCGAGCAGGAGCUUUGCGUGGUCUUGCGCGCCGUCGUGGCGCAGAAGUCGCACGUGUACUCCUUCGGCAAGGCAGAGACAGUGCACGUGUUGCCCCCGCUGCCGCGGCGCAGCGCCGACGACGACGGCGACAAGGCGCUGCUGCGCAAGCAGACAAUUCAGAAGGCGGAGAUGGAGCGCCUGGCCACGGACUCUUCGAGCCCACUACACAAAUUCCUUUGCGGCGGUGACAAGCUGUGUGGCGAGGCGAAGAUAGAGGGGGACCAGUGGAGGGCUGCCUUGCUUGAUCGGGCGCGCCGUGCUGCCGCCGCGGCGCGUCAGCGCGUCCCGGUCACGGUGAAUGAGAAUGGCAUGCCGGCGUCGGCCGACUACGGCGACCUCGUUGUGGCCUUUGUUCUGAGCGGCAACGCGUCGGAGCUGAGCGGUUCGGUGCCGGACAUGAUGGAGCUGGAGGCGCUGCGGUACCGCAUUUUCUCGCUGCUGGGGUACAGCGCGAGCGACCCGGCCGGAAUGCAGGCGGUGAAGGAGGCCGCUGGAGUAGGUGGAGCAUCCGCUGCGGCUCGACCGCCAGCAGAAGGAGUCACGCGGUCUUCUACGACGGCGCCUUCGCCUCUCGAACCCAAUCUGGCGCGCCUGCAGCAGCACUUUACCUCUUUCAAAGCGUUCCAUACCCCGGAUUCACCACAUCCGGAAACCAGGGAGACGCCGUCGUUUGGUGCGUCAUCUGCGUCGCCGUGCGCCUCUUUAGUGAGGGGUCAGCGGCGGCCCAGCUUCUUCGAAGACGUGCUGCAACGAGCCGAUCCUCUGGCGGACUUGGACGGCGGCGACGGCAGGAGGGGACGCUACCUUACCGAGUUCGAUGUGCAGCAGAGGCAGAGGACACUGCGGCAGAGGCAGAAGCAGGAUGUGCAGACGCUGAUGCUACAACGCUAUCCGAUCUACCGCGCCUCAAGCGUCGCGGAGAGCACUCUGCAGGCCUUCUUCGCUGAGGCAAAGGAAGCAGUCGUUGCGGCACGUCAGCAGGGGCGACGGCGCGACGACGCCAGGUCAUCCAGCAGCCGCCCCAGCACUAGCGGUGGUCGCUUCUCCUCACCUGACCCGUCUUUGGACCCUCUUACGCGGUACACACGCGGCGACGCGGUGACGACUGCGCUGCAGGAUUCGGAGCGUGAUCUGCUGCGCUUCCGCCCUAUGAACCUAAACAGCUUCCACCGCGAGCUCACCGACGCUGUGCAGUGCGCGUUGGAUCUGCAGAUUUGGCAGGGCAAGAAAAACGUAUUGCACGCGUUCCACAUGUAGCGUCUCUGCUUCUCCAGUGUCUCUGUGCUGCUGCCGGUGCGCGGUUCGUCGAUGGAGGAUGGACGUGUGGCACACACGUACAUGUAUAGAUGCCUCAAUACGGUGCUGUGCGCAUGGGCACGUGCAUGCGUGUGGGCGUCUGUAACGCUCGUGCGCUUCUCUGCACUGCCUCGGGCGCCUAGAUCAUCAUAAAAACAUAGAAACAACGACAGCAAUGAAAACAACUCACAGCUCCUCAAAGGCAAGCAACGUCGAUGCCUGACGAUGACCACCCGCUGCGACGCACCUCCCUCUCUCUCUCGGUGGCUGCCUAGUGGUGUGCGCGCCUCAGCACUUAUCGACUAUGCGCGCUGGAAGUCGGUCAUGUCAUGAGACCACCGCCGAGCCGAUGCUGGGGCGCACGGGGGAGAGAUGUAUGUAAAAGAAAUAACGAGAGCAAGAGAGGGUGGCGUCGAAAGGUGCCUCGUGGGGAUGGCAAGCGCGCUCCUCCACAACUAGACAGGGUUCGCAUGCGGAGCUCCGCGGACGACGGUGACUGCGGAGAGCCGCACAUGCUAGGGACGCUGUGCGCAUCGUCCCUUCGGCCGGAUGCAUCGCUUGAAGAGCCACGGCUGCCACACGGUACCCGCACAUGUGUGCACACGCCAGGCCUCUCUCUCUCUCUGCCUGCGCCACCGUCCUCAUCAACACCCCUAUCCAUCCUCCACUACCACUGCAUCCAUCCGGAUCGCCCCACCGUGCCCAAUGUCCCUUGGCAUGGCUGCCGCUUUCCGUGGAGGCCCUUCUGAGCAG